AAAUGGAAUGCUUUUUUGAACUAGCUGAUAAAAGAUCCAAAUUUCCCCCUGUUGUGAUAAAAGAUGUUCUAAGCCUUUAGAGAGAUAGGGAAACAUUACACAACAGGAACAAUUUACUGUGUUCAAUACAUUACAGAUAUAUCUUACGGUGACGGUAGCAUUCUAUAGCUCCAGAAAACAUUGUCUGGUAACAAAAGGAUGUUCCUCUGUGUCUCUGAGACUAAGCCUCCUGAAAAAACCAGUUGAGUUAAGAAACCAGUUCUUACCCUUUUGGUAUAGCCCCUGAAGAUGGAGGUGGGUUUCUCCUGUGGUUCAAGUGCUAACCUAGGACUCAGAAGAGAAGUGUUCAAUGUCCUGCUGUGCUACAGACUUCUGGAAGAAGAAGUGUGAUAUUUCAUUUCACCACCUCUGACAAAGGCAUUAUUUCAUCCCUAUUCUAGGGAUUUUAUUCAGGUUAAGGAAUUACUUAACAGUAACAGCAUGACUGUGUUUUGAUUUAUUUUUUCUAAAAUAUUGAAACAGAAAAAUAAGAGAAAGGAGGACGUUGCUUUUGUAUUAAUAGUUCCUCAAGAUCUUAAAAAGGAACAUCUGAUCUUGGGAAACAAGAGGUUGUUUUUAUCAUUUUGUUUUGGUUCCUGGAAUUUCUUAUUAAUUUUACAAGUCCUGUUAUAGACUGGUUUUUUUGAACUUCCUUCCUGCUCAUUUAAUUUAAUGGAUGAAUAAAACUUUUCCACAGAAAUUACAAUAGCAGGAAAAGUUUAUAAGACCAUAUGCAGCAGACUUUGAGAACAUCCAUGCCUCUAAUAGGUCUUUGAUAAAUUCUGACAGUUGUCAGUCUUCUAAUGCAGAAGUCAUUUGACACUCUUAUUCUGUAUUGAGACCAUUACAUAUCAGAAAUAACAAGUGACUACUGAAUCUCGAUUUGAUGGUGUCCAAGAGCACUCCUGUGAACUUAUGAACUAAAGCACAAAAAAAAUCACUGGAGAAAAGACAUCUGGGGGAAAAGUAAAACUUCUUUGUGUUUGGUGAGUAUCCAGGACUCAGCUUUCUGUGUUGUUAAUAUAUUCAUAAAAAAUUGGAAGCUUUGUUCACUGAUUUACCUGAGUGAUAAGAUUUUAAUGCUGAUUGUACUC